rnacentral:rRNA from 1 species
GGCUCGAGGACGAACGCUGGCGGCGUGCCUAACACAUGCAAGUCGAGCGGAGUUAUCCGAGCGGAAGUUUUCGGAUGGAAGCAUGGAUAACUUAGCGGCGGACGGGUGAGUAACACGUGGGUAACCUACCUCUAAGACGGGGAUAACAGUUGGAAACGACUGCUAAUACCGGAUGUGAUCUACGGAUUAAAGGAGCCUUUAAAGCUCCGCUUAGAGAUGGGCCUGCGGUGCAUUAGCUAGUUGGUGGGGUAAUGGCCUACCAAGGCGACGAUCAGUAGCCGACCUGAGAGGGUGACCGGCCACAUUGGGACUGAGACACGGCCCAAACUCCUACGGGAGGCAGCAGUGGGGAAUAUUGCACAAUGGGCGAAAGCCUGAUGCAGCGACGCCGCGUGAGCGAAGAAGUAUUUCGGUAUGUAAAGCUCUAUCAGCAGGGAAGAAAAUGACGGUACCUGACUAAGAAGCCCCGGCUAACUACGUG